rnacentral:rRNA from 1 species
UACGAGCGUCACAAGUGUUACUUCUCUUGACUGGGCGUAAAAAGUGCGUAGGUUGCAUAAUCAAUUCGAAAUGUCAAAAAAUGUAGUCAUAUUUUUUAUUUUGAAUAUUGUUAUGCUUGAGUAAAAUUAAAGGUAGUGGAACUCCUUGUAUUAGAGUUGAAAUGCGCGUUACACUGGGAAGAAGCACCGAAGGCGAAAGCUGCUACCUAUUUUUUUCUGACGCUGAGGCACGAAGGUAUGGGUAUCAAACGGG